GCCUGGUUGGCUCACUCCACGGAGCGUGUGACUCUUGAUUUCAGGGUUGUGAGUUCGAGCCCCACACUGGGUG
rnacentral:tRNA from 1 species